rnacentral:rRNA from 1 species
CUCAGGAUGAACGCUGGCGGCGUGCCUAACACAUGCAAGUCGAACGGAACAGGACUUUCGCUAAGCUUCGGCUUAGUUGUUUGUUUAGUGGCGGACGGGUGAGUAACGCGUGGACAACCUGCCGUAUACAGGGGGAUAACAGAGAGAAAUUUCUGCUAAUACCGCAUAAGCGCACGGGGAGGCAUCUUCGUUGUGUGAAAAGAUUUAUCGGUAUACGAUGGAUCCGCGUCUGACUUAGCCAGUUGGCGGGUAAAGGCCCGACCAAAGCGACGAUCCAGUAGCCGGCCUGAGAGGGUGAACGGCCACAUUGGGACUGAGAGACGGCCCAAACUCCUACGGGAGGCAGCAGUGGGGGAUAUUGCACAAUGGGGGAAACCCUGAUGCAGCGAACCGCCGCGUGAGUGAAGAAGUAUUUCGGUAUGGUAAAGCUCUAUCAGCAGGGAAGAAGCUAGACGGUACCUGACUAAGAAGCACCGGCUAAAUACGUGCCAGCAGCUGC